ACAAGGCCUCCAGUGGUGGGUGUGCUAACUGCGAAUGUCCCAAUGGUGAGCAGGAGUGCAAAGGUUACAAAGCGAAAUGUGACUGCGUUGACGGAAUUCUUUACUAUAAGGGCAGCAGCUGGUGCGCUAAGAACGAAGAAGACUGCGAUCGACCGGACUGGCCCAAGCAAGCUUCCAACAAUAGCGACUGCCUCUUAUGUGAAUGCGAUAAGCCCAGCUGCAAUGUUGGCGCUUUGUGCCACUGCAAGGAUGGCGUUCUGUAUCUGAAGGAGAGUGGCAUGGAAUGCGUUCGUAUUCGGAGAGAUUGUUUCCUAAAGCAUCAAAAGAAGAGCCGGUUUUGAUUGGAUAAAGUUGUUUGAAGACAGCACACAGUGUGCGAUUGCCAGCUGUGAACAAGGCACAGGUAAAAAUAUGAUUGCUAGCCCCCGCUGUAGAUUUAACAGCGUACGAAGCUUCCUCAGCAAGAAAACGUACUGCAAUGCCCACAGAAGUCCGGCCAUUUAUUUUUAUGUAUUGAGAAUACUGCUGCCGAUGGGAUUUCUUGUGUUUAAUUUCUUUUAGUUCUGAAACCGCUCUUGUACAAUCGAUGUCUUCAUUGCCGUGCACUGGAAAUAAAUAAAAUAUCUUGCACUUGUA